rnacentral:lncRNA from 1 species
CUUUCCAAAGAUGGAUGCAAAUGCUGGGAAAGCAAGAGUUGAAUUGCUAGCCAUGAGGAAAACGUAAGCCUGAGCUGUUUGCUGGCCAUCUUUGCUUCCACAUGGGGAUGGCCUGCCUGGAAAUGAAGCCACACAGAGAAAACAGAAGAGCAGUGAAGAGAAGGGUAAAAGGAGAGAUCCCAUGACAUGAUUUGCACUCUUAGAUCCAGUUAUGCCUGAUGCAGGACCCACCCCUUGGACUUCCCAUUUCCAGGAGCUAAAACUAGACUGAGUUGAGUUUCUGUCACUGACAGUUGACAGAAAAUAUCAACAAUCCAGCCACAUGGAGCCUCAUGGCAGUACCACUAACCCUGGUCACCACAUGAAUACUGACCAGAGGCAUUUCACCUGAAUCAACUGUUUGUGUUCUUAACUCCAUCUCCUCAUCUGCUUCCUGGAAGACCCAACUGACAUAGAUGGUUACAAGAAAUGAUUUCCUCCUUAUAAAACUCUAGAUGUCAAUGUGAUCUUUCACAAGCACACUGAAAAAUUCACACCGUGGAAAAGAACUAAAGUCCCAUCCUAAUUCAUCAGAGCCUUCUGUUUCCUGUAACAAAGAAGAACUCACAAGAUCAGGAUUCCAAGCUUCUUGUAUAGAAGAUACCUAAAAAGUGUUUGCUGAAUGAAGAAAUAAAGGAUUGCUCAGGCACCACUGGCACUUUAAGUUGUUCAGCAAGUACUCGUGCCUCUUAAGAACUGGCCAAGGGCCGGGCGUGGUGGUUCAUGCCUGUAAUCCCAGCAUUUUGGGACGCCGAGGCGGGCAGAUCACGAAGUCAGGAGUUCGAGACCAGCGUGGCCAACGUGGUGAAACCCCAUCUCUACUAAAAAUACAAAAACUUAGCCGGGUGUGGUGGCCUGCGCCUGUAGUCCCAGCUACUCGGGAGGCUGAGGCACAAGAAUUGCUUGAACCCACGAGGAGGAGCUUGCAGUAAGCCGAGAUCGCGCCAUUGCACUCCAGCCUGGGCAACAGGGCAAGACUCUGUCCUGAAAGAAAAAAAAAAAAAAAAAAAAAAAGAACUGGCCGAGGUCUUAGCUGGAGCACUCUCUCUACCCUGCAUGUUUGACUGCAUUUCUGUCCAUUUUCAAUCCGUUUUGGUUAUACGUUUUUUCACACAGGUCUGUUGAACUUAGAACACCGAAGGCCUGUGUAUUUUCAUGGCUCACAGCUCAUGUUGUGUUGACCUGCCCCACUGUGGUUAAUGUUUAGCCCCUAAACCACCAGCUGAAUGUCCUUAAAUCUGAAAGAAUAAUGAACACACGCCAACAGAUAGCUUAGGUUUAUUUGGUGACUUGCGCCACAUACUUUGCGAAUAUCAUCUCAGUCAUCCUUUUAGCAUCUCUCUCAGGCACAUACUCUCCUCUGUGGUGGCUCAUGCCGGUAAUCCCAGCCCUUUGGGAGGCCGAGGCGGGCAGAUCACUUGAGGCAAGGAGUUCGAGACCAGCCUGGCCAACACGGUGAAACCCCAUCUCUACUAAAAAUACAAAAAUUAGCCGGCUAUGGUGGCAUGCGCCUGUAAUCCCAGCUGCUCGAGAGGCUGAGGCAGGAGAAUCAUUUGAACCCAGGAGGCAGAGGUUGCAGUGAGCCUAGACUGCACCAUUGCACUUCAGCCUGGGUGAGACCCCAUCUCAAAUCAAUCAAUCAAUCAAUCAAUCAAUCAAUCAAUAAGGGAAAAGCUAUCACACAGCAGAAUACAGUCCAAGGGUAACUACUGAAGGGCCAGAUCAAGGAGCAAAGUCUAUCAUGUAUCAACCUUUACAGUGUCCCCAAGGGUCAGCUGUGUAUAGGGGCCCACACAGAAUUUGGAAUCCAAAUACAUCUCUGGAUCCCCAGGCCUGUGUUUGACUCGCCAGGUAGUAAUGAGAUGUCUCCAUUUUCUGCAGGCUGAAUGAUUCCCUCAGAGCAGAAGUAUAAGCAUAUUUAUUGUUUUUCCUUCUAUCAUAAACAGUUAUUAGUUGUGGCCCUUUCUCCCUUCCAAAUAGGUGCCCAAAUUUCUGGAAGUGGAAAGGGCCCAACUUUCCCAUAUCAGGGGGUGGGCCCCACUGGGCGUGAGCCAAUCAGUGUCUUCUGUCCUGUGAGCUCCCGAUUUAUGCUGGUCUAUAACCUGAGAUGGCCUUCUCAGGAUGGACCUCCAGGGAUUGCUGGAACUUGGACUCUUGUCAGCCUGGUAAAUGGUAUGUCUUAGAUCUGCUGCAGCCGUCGUGGAAAACUUGAAGCUGCCAGGAGAGAGGGGUUCCAACAUGUGGUGGCUAAAGAAUGAAUCCAACUCAAAGGAAGCAGAGCCAAGAAAUGGAUCCAUGCUGUUUGAAUCUUGGAUCAAAUUGUGCCUGGAUCUCCAGUGAGACAAUAAAUUCCUGUAUUACUCAAGCCUAUUUGAGAUUGUUUUCUUUCACUUGAAACAUUAAACUUUUAAAUUGAUACACCCUAGUUAAAUUAUAAACUGUGUGACAGCAGGGACUGUGUCUCUCUCUUUUUUUUCUUUCUUUUUUUUUUGUUUUGAAACAGAGUUUCACUACCGUCACCCAGGCUGGAGUG